rnacentral:rRNA from 1 species
CCUACGGGAGGCAGCAGUGGGGAAUAUUGCACAAUGGGCGGAAGCCUGAUGCAGCGACGCCGCGUGAGGGAUGAAGGCCUUCGGGUUGUAAACCUCUUUCAGCAGGGACGAAGCGUGAGUGACGGUACCUGCAGAAGAAGCACCGGCUAACUACGUGCCAGCAGCCGCGGUAAUACGUAGGGUGCGAGCGUUGUCCGGAAUUACUGGGCGUAAAGAGUUCGUAGGCGGUUUGUCGCGUCGUUUGUGAAAACCCGGGGCUCAACUUCGGGCUUGCAGGCGAUACGGGCAGACUUGAGUGUUUCAGGGGAGACUGGAAUUCCUGGUGUAGCGGUGAAAUGCGCAGAUAUCAGGAGGAACACCGGUGGCGAAGGCGGGUCUCUGGGAAACAACUGACGCUGAGGAACGAAAGCGUGGGUAGCAAACAGGAUUAGAUACCCUGGUAGUCCACGCCGUAAACGGUGGGCGCUAGGUGUGGGUUCCUUCCACGGGAUCUGUGCCGUAGCUAACGCAUUAAGCGCCCGCCUGGGGAGUACGGCCGCAAGGCUAAAACUCAAAGGAAUUGACGG